rnacentral:rRNA from 1 species
UACGAAGGGAGCUAGCGUUGUUCGGAAUCACUGGGCGUAAAGCGCACGUAGGCGGAUGUGUCAGUCAGGGGUGAAAUCCCGGAGCUCAACUUCGGAACUGCCCUUGAUACAGCACGUCUUGAGUCCGGAAGAGGUGGGUGGAAUUCCUAGUGUAGAGGUGAAAUUCGUAGAUAUUAGGAAGAACACCGGUGGCGAAGGCGGCUCACUGGCCCGAUACUGACGCUGAGGUGCGAAAGCGUGGGGAGCAAACAGG